GAGGUAUCAGAAGUGCGAAUGCUGACAUAAGUAACGAUAAAGCGGGUGAAAAGCCCGCUCGCCGGAAGACCAAGGGUUCCUGUCCAACGUUAAUCGGGGCAGGGUGAGUCGACCCCUAAGGCGAGGCCGAAAGGCGUAGUCGAUGGGAAACAGGUUAAUAUUCCUGUACUUGGUGUUACUGCGAAGGGGGGACGGAGAAGGCUAUGUUGGCCGGGCGACGGUUGUCCCGGUUUAAGCGUGUAGGCUGGUUUUCCAGGCAAAUCCGGAAAAUCAAGGCUGAGGCGUGAUGACGAGGCACUACGGUGCUGAAGCAACAAAUGCCCUGCUUCCAGGAAAAGCCUCUAAGCAUCAGGUAACAUCAAAUCGUACCCCAAACCGACACAGGUGGUCAGGUAGAGAAUACCAAGGCGCUUGAGAGAACUCGGGUGAAGGAACUAGGCAAAAUGGUGCCGUAACUUCGGGAGAAGGCACGCUGAUAUGUAGGUGAAGUCCCUCGCGGAUGGAGCUGAAAUCAGUCGAAGAUACCAGCUGGCUGCAACUGUUUAUUAAAAACACAGCACUGUGCAAACACGAAAGUGGACGUAUACGGUGUGACGCCUGCCCGGUGCCGGAAGGUUAAUUGAUGGGGUCAGCGCAAGCGAAGCUCUUGAUCGAAGCCCCGGUAAACGGCGGCCGUAACUAUAACGGUCCUAAGGUAGCGAAAUUCCUUGUCGGGUAAGUUCCGACCUGCACGAAUGGCGUAAUGAUGGCCAGGCUGUCUCCACCCGAGACUCAGUGAAAUUGAACUCGCUGUGAAGAUGCAGUGUACCCGCGGCAAGACGGAAAGACCCCGUGAACCUUUACUAUAGCUUGACACUGAACAUUGAGCCUUGAUGUGUAGGAUAGGUGGGAGGCUUUGAAGUGUGGACGCCAGUCUGCAUGGAGCCGACCUUGAAAUACCACCCUUUAAUGUUUGAUGUUCUAACGUGGACCCGUGAUCCGGGUUGCGGACAGUGUCUGGUGGGUAGUUUGACUGGGGCGGUCUCCUCCUAAAGAGUAACGGAGGAGCACGAAGGUUGGCUAAUCCUGGUCGGACAUCAGGAGGUUAGUGCAAUGGCAUAAGCCAGCUUGACUGCGAGCGUGACGGCGCGAGCAGGUGCGAAAGCAGGUCAUAGUGAUCCGGUGGUUCUGAAUGGAAGGGCCAUCGCUCAACGGAUAAAAGGUACUCCGGGGAUAACAGGCUGAUACCGCCCAAGAGUUCAUAUCGACGGCGGUGUUUGGCACCUCGAUGUCGGCUCAUCACAUCCUGGGGCUGAAGUAGGUCCCAAGGGUAUGGCUGUUCGCCAUUUAAAGUGGUACGCGAGCUGGGUUUAGAACGUCGUGAGACAGUUCGGUCCCUAUCUGCCGUGGGCGCUGGAGAACUGAGGGGGGCUGCUCCUAGUACGAGAGGACCGGAGUGGACGCAUCACUGGUGUUCGGGUUGUCAUGCCAAUGGCACUGCCCGGUAGCUAAAUGCGGAAGAGAUAAGUGCUGAAAGCAUCUAAGCACGAAACUUGCCCCGAGAUGAGUUCUCCCUGACCCUUUAAGGGUCCUGAAGGAACGUUGAAGACGACGACGUUGAUAGGCCGGGUGUGUAAGCGCAGCGAUGCGUUGAGCUAACCGGUACUAAUGAACCGUGAGGCUUAACCUUACAACGCCGAAGGUGUUU
rnacentral:rRNA from 1 species